CGGAACCUAUAACUGGAUCCUGUCAAACAAACGACAGCAAAAAAAAUAUAACAGCUGCUAAGAAGUCAAGUUGAGAGAUAAAGUUUUCGAGGCUAAGGACCUUCUCAGAAGUAGACUAAAGUAUUUUGUGUUCCAGAAAAAAGAAAGAGGACAAACUUGUUGAUAAGCAUCUGCCGAGACCUUCUGCAAAGUAGCUCAUAGCUGGAAUCAUCAAAUUUGGAAGACAAGGCAACCACUUCUCUGGAAGUAAAAUUGAGUGAAAUGGACUUCAGUCUGCAAGAUACAGCUCACAGUCCAGUGGCAAGAUAGUAAAAUAAUCAAAUGAUGAAAUUAUAACUUGGGGAUAAAGAGAAGAGAGGACU